GUGAAAGAGGAGCGAGAACUAGGUUAGCUAUGUUGUGAGGAUGUUCUAGAUUUUAGAAGAAAAACAGAUUUAUGGUAAACAAAAUUUAUGGGUUCGCUCUUGAAAACAGUCUUCCACUGAAGAAAGUGAAAGUUGUGUUGGGAAAGCAAAGAUGAAAAAGAAGAAAAAAGAAAAUAAAGAAAGAAAGUGGGAAACCAGAUGAGCGUGAUUGAUGGAUCAAAAGAAUGGUGUGCAGCAAAGUGGGGUGAAGUCUGUGAGGGCGUGUCCCGAAUCUAUUUCGAUGAUCCAAACAGUCUCCCCGCACAGAAGAGAAGACAAAGCCUCAAACUUUAUUGGACACCUUCUUUAAGGACUUUUCUCAAACACUUUGCACACACCCGCAUGGAUCAUGUGUUCGAUGCUUUCUGGGUCGCUUCCCCAAAGACCAAUUAACCCUGGCCGCGUUCUAUUGACCUUCCAAUUUGCUUUCUUGGACCAAUCUCAGCACCCACCAUCUGUAAAAUCAAAAGAAAAUUGUUACGUGGACGACUAGUUAAAGUGAUGGCCUUGUUCUGGUCGUGGAAUGCAAUUCCUCUCCUUGAGGACGCAUUAAAAAGAAAAAGAAAAAAAAAAUUAGCAGCAAAGGGCUGUCUCGUCAACGGAAUAAUGCCAAGCAAAAGGGAUUAUUGUCUUUGCAAAAAUGAGUCACCACAAGCUACUCUAUUUUAUUUUUCACUUCAUUUAUUUUUCUUUUUUAUUUUUAGUUCAACUAAGCAGUUGUCAUGUAGAUAACAGUUUAAAACAUUGUCUUAUUUGAAGAAGUGUACUAGCAUCAGAAGUUUUAGAGAAAAUGUGGCUACCUACGUUUUCAACAUACUUUCAGUAUGAAACAGCUGUAUAUUUCAGAGCCAUACAUAUCGUCUUUUAUAUUUCA